rnacentral:rRNA from 1 species
CAUGUAGGCGGUUGUUUAAGUCUGAUGUGAAAGCCCUGGGCUCAACCCAGGAAGUGCAUUGGAUACUGGACAACUUGAGUACGGGAGAGGAAAGUGGAAUUUCGAGUGUAGGGGUGAAAUCCGUAGAUAUUCGAAGGAACACCAGUGGCGAAGGCGGCUCACUGGCUCGAUACUGACGCUGAGGUGCGAAAGUGUGGGGAGCAAACA